rnacentral:miRNA from 1 species
UAUCGUCACACCCUUAAUCCCC